AACUCACGGCCUGCUUUCUCACUGUGUGAGGUGCCCAGCGCCCGUGGGUUUGUCUGACCAACCCCUGUAUAUUGGCUAGCUCUCUGCACAGUGUGAAACAAUGUCUAUUAAAAUUCAGAAAAAUUCUGCAGAAAAACCCACUUGAUCCAGUUCCUGGCGUGCUCCAGGACGUGACACGCCCAGGAACCCACGUAUGGCCUUCUCUAGCUGAUGUGCAGGACUGAACUCUAAGCUGAUUCAGCAGGAGCGGGUGAACGGAUAAAAGGGGAGGCCCAGUCUUGAACCAGUAACUUCAGAGCACUGAAAUCUGAAGCAGGAAAGCUAUGAAUUCUUUUGGAACCUUUUUCCCCACUUUCGAAUUCCUUUAGGAAGCACCAGAUGUUGGGGAGCAUUUUGAUGUCGUUGACAUACAAAGAUCAUCGGGAUUCAAAGGUCUUUGUCCCCCAGAUGUGUAUCUUCAGCUAAUGAGAACGGUGGCUUCUUUGGACACAGUUAUACCAGUGAACACCGGUUGGUAGCGCAGCACACAGUAACCGUAGCGGAAAACAAGACUCCUGUCAUUGAGGAAUCAGGACCCUGGACUGCCUCAUCUCAGCUCUCUGCUGCAAGCCUCUCAGGGCCAGGCGAGCUGUCAACGCUUCUACCGGGGAACUCUGGGAAAGAGUCACUCCCAGAAUCCAGCUGUUGGCUGAAUUCAACCUCACAUGG